rnacentral:sRNA from 1 species
UCAAUAUGCGCUUCAGCUUUCGAGCAGAU